rnacentral:rRNA from 1 species
CCUACGGGAGGCUGCAGUGGGGAAUAUUGCGCAAUGGGCGAAAGCCUGACACAGCGACGCCGCGUGAGGGAUGAAGGUCUUCGGAUCGUAAACCUCUGUCAGCAGGGAAGAACGGUCACUGUGCUAAUCAGCAGUGAAUUGACGGUACCUGCAAAGGAAGCACCGGCUAACUCCGUGCCAGCAGCCGCGGUAAUACGGAGGGUGCGAGCGUUAAUCGGAAUUACUGGGCGUAAAGCGCUCGUAGGCGGUAUGUCAAGUCAAGGGUGAAAUCCCCGGGCUCAACGUGGGAACUACCUUUGAAACUGGCAGACUGGAGUGUGGGAGAGGAUAGUAGAAUUCCAGGUGUAGGAGUGAAAUCCGUAGAUAUCUGGAGGAACAUCAGUGGCGAAGGCGACUAGCUGGAACAUAACUGACGCUGAGGAGCGAAAGCGUGGGUAGCAAACAGGAUUAGAUACCCCAGUAGUC